GCAGAGAUUGUGUAAGAAGAAAACAGAAGAAAGCCUAGGAGAGAAUCCUGAGGAAAACCAAAGAUUUAAGGGAUGAGCAAAAGAGAAAUCUGCACAGUAACUCAUAAAGAGUGGUCGAAGAGGUAAAGAGAAAACAAGAGCAUAUGGUGUCAUACAAGCCACAUUGUCUCUAUGGUGGUGCCUUGGGUCUGCAUUUCAGCCAGCACAAAGGAGAAAGAAGAAGGUAUAGACACAUCACUUUAUUUUAAUGACAAGAUCCAGGAGUUGUUCUCGUCACUGUCACUCACAUCCCAUUGGCCAAAACUUAAUCACAUGGUCAUAUGCAGCUGCAAUGUGACAGGAAAUGUAGUCUUUUUUCAGAAUGACUGUUACCCUAGGUAAAAUUUGGAGAUAUUCUUUCUGUGAGAGAAAAAGAGAGUACAGCUAAUGGGAGAUAACUAGUGGCUACUGUCAUAUCACUUGACGUCUUUCAAAUCUUUGAUGCUGAUCAAUCUCUGCAAUUCCCCCAGUGUGCAGUUGUACUUUUGGUAAGAAGAGGAAGCUCAAGAUUUGACUUUUUCUCCCAUAAUGACCCUCAUUUUGGGGGUCAGAAAGGAAGCAUGGACAUUCACUCAUCUCUAUAUGAAGGAAAUGUGGAAACAAUCACAGGAUGCUUUUACAGACCUAUAAGUGCCAUUGUGACAGAAUUAGGCCCGCAAAUCCAAUUGUCACCUAAACUGCAUGCAUCCCAGAUUCUGCCAGAUACAUCACAGUGACAUUCUGCAUCGUGUUCAUUUAUAUUCAGGAGCCAAUACUCCCUGAAAGAUCUGGCUAUUUCCCAUCUCCCACUACACAGUUACCAUGGUAAAUAACCAAAGAUACUUCUGGAGAAGGCUGGGAGAAAGAUUUACAGGAAGUACUUCUGAUGAUAUCACAAGGUCCUUCUUCAGGUUACCUGGCUUCCUCUAUAUUCAAUGUUUGGAAAUAAACUCAAGUUUCAGAAUUG
rnacentral:lncRNA from 1 species